rnacentral:rRNA from 1 species
AGGUAUGCUGGAGGUAUCAGAAGUGCGAAUGCUGACAUAAGUAACGAUAAAGCGGGUGAAAAGCCCGCUCGCCGGAAGACCAAGGGUUCCUGUCCAACGUUAAUCGGGGCAGGGUGAGUCGACCCCUAAGGCGAGGCCGAAAGGCGUAGUCGAUGGGAAACAGGUUAAUAUUCCUGUACUUGGUGUUACUGCGAAGGGGGGACGGAGAAGGCUAUGUUGGCCGGGCGACGGUUGUCCCGGUUUAAGCGUGUAGGCUGGUUUUCCAGGCAAAUCCGGAAAAUCAAGGCUGAGGCGUGAUGACGAGGCACUACGGUGCUGAAGCAACAAAUGCCCUGCUUCCAGGAAAAGCCUCUAAGCAUCAGGUAACAUCAAAUCGUACCCCAAACCGACACAGGUGGUCAGGUAGAGAAUACCAAGGCGCUUGAGAGAACUCGGGUGAAGGAACUAGGCAAAAUGGUGCCGUAACUUCGGGAGAAGGCACGCUGAUAUGUAGGUGAAGUCCCUCGCGGAUGGAGCUGAAAUCAGUCGAAGAUACCAGCUGGCUGCAACUGUUUAUUAAAAACACAGCACUGUGCAAACACGAAAGUGGACGUAUACGGUGUGACGCCUGCCCGGUGCCGGAAGGUUAAUUGAUGGGGUCAGCGCAAGCGAAGCUCUUGAUCGAAGCCCCGGUAAACGGCGGCCGUAACUAUAACGGUCCUAAGGUAGCGAAAUUCCUUGUCGGGUAAGUUCCGACCUGCACGAAUGGCGUAAUGAUGGCCAGGCUGUCUCCACCCGAGACUCAGUGAAAUUGAACUCGCUGUGAAGAUGCAGUGUACCCGCGGCAAGACGGAAAGACCCCGUGAACCUUUACUAUAGCUUGACACUGAACAUUGAGCCUUGAUGUGUAGGAUAGGUGGGAGGCUUUGAAGUGUGGACGCCAGUCUGCAUGGAGCCGACCUUGAAAUACCACCCUUUAAUGUUUGAUGUUCUAACGUGGACCCGUGAUCCGGGUUGCGGACAGUGUCUGGUGGGUAGUUUGACUGGGGCGGUCUCCUCCUAAAGAGUAACGGAGGAGCACGAAGGUUGGCUAAUCCUGGUCGGACAUCAGGAGGUUAGUGCAAUGGCAUAAGCCAGCUUGACUGCGAGCGUGACGGCGCGAGCAGGUGCGAAAGCAGGUCAUAGUGAUCCGGUGGUUCUGAAUGGAAGGGCCAUCGCUCAACGGAUAAAAGGUACUCCGGGGAUAACAGGCUGAUACCGCCCAAGAGUUCAUAUCGACGGCGGUGUUUGGCACCUCGAUGUCGGCUCAUCACAUCCUGGGGCUGAAGUAGGUCCCAAGGGUAUGGCUGUUCGCCAUUUAAAGUGGUACGCGAGCUGGGUUUAGAACGUCGUGAGACAGUUCGGUCCCUAUCUGCCGUGGGCGCUGGAGAACUGAGGGGGGCUGCUCCUAGUACGAGAGGACCGGAGUGGACGCAUCACUGGUGUUCGGGUUGUCAUGCCAAUGGCACUGCCCGGUAGCUAAAUGCGGAAGAGAUAAGUGCUGAAAGCAUCUAAGCACGAAACUUGCCCCGAGAUGAGUUCUCCCUGACCCUUUAAGGGUCCUGAAGGAACGUUGAAGACGACGACGUUGAUAGGCCGGGUGUGUAAGCGCAGCGAUGCGUUGAGCUAACCGGUACUAAUGAACCGUGAGGCUUAACCUUACAAC